rnacentral:lncRNA from 1 species
GUGUGUGUCCCCCUAGCAACGCACGACGAUGUUGUGGAGGCCGGUGGGAGUGAGAAGACCGAGGAGGAGGCCCAGGCUGUGACCAAGGAGGAGGAGGCGGGCCCGGCCCCUGAGAAGGGGGCAGAGGAGGCCGCAGCCGUUGGCGAGGCAGAGGAGGAGGCGGGCCCAGGCAGUGACAAUGACAAGACGUCCCCAGCCAGGGCUGGGGCUGAGCAGGAAGAUGAAUCUGCCCCCAAGGUGGACGGGACAGACGGUGAAAGCUUGUGGAGCACUGUGAGUCUGUGUGGCAGCGUCCACGAUGAAGAUGACACAGACUCGGUGGUGGGGAGCAGCAACAGCCACCAGGACGAGGAGGCUGCAGGUAGGGAAGAGCACGCAGCUGGGAUCCAGUGGGAGAGGGUUCCUGGGAGCACCUGGGUUGCACCUGCUGCCGGGCGAGGGAGGAAGGGGGAUGGGACAUGGCGGGUGGGUGGGUGGCCUAAUGAGUGGAAGCCUGGUGUGGCGUUUUCCCCUCUGAAAUUGAUCACACGAAGAAGACUUGGGUGCCUGGUCUUUGUUGUGCUGUGUGUGUCUUCCUGUCUCCUUCCUUGGAGAAGGAAAAUGGAUUUUCCCUCCCAAAGCUGCUCCUUCCAGCUCUUGGCUCUGGCCACUGUGCCAGCUUGCUUUGUGACUCGCACCCUGAGGGUCCUGUGCACAAGAGCUGUUGACUUAGUUUCCUUUAGUGACCUUGAUGGACCUGACGGGGUGGGACGCCAACCUCUCCUAGGCCCCCGACCCUGGAGACGAAGUUGGUCUAGUGAGUGUCAGGUGGUGGGUGAGAAGGCAGCUCUCUCCCUCUGCACGUGCAGGAUUUCUGGGCUCCCUGACCUGUUGUGUCCUCACGGUGUGUCCUCAGGGAAGGGGCGUCCCGAGAGUUGGAUGCCCAGAACAGGGAACUGAGGCACAGAGAUUACUAGGUCCCCUUCCCUGGCAUGUGUUUCUUCAACAGGGGAUGUGCAGAGUUCGCUAGUGUCCUAGACGUUAAGGGUCCAGUGUUGGAUCCCUGCUGUGGUGCAGAGUCUAGCCGUGGCCUGGGAAGUUCUGCAUGCCCUCCCUGGGAGUGGCGAAAAUCAGUCAGUCAAUCAUUGGGAUUGACAUCAGACCAUUCUGCAUGGUCAUCAUCUAGGUUGUCUCAGCUACCAAGAGGCGUUUUCCCACAACCCUGUGUGGGGAGGUAGCGGUUUGAAGUGCAGCCCAAAGAGCAAGGUCUUUCUAAGUAGAACUUGGAUGCUGGAGGCUCUGCUGGGCAGCUGGGGAUUAUGGGCAUUGAGGGCUUGGCCUGGGAGUCAACGAUUAGUCAUGUCCCUGUGGUCUUCUGCAGUCAGUCUAUCACUCGUUCUCUCUGUUGUCAUGUAUUUUCCAGAAUCUUGCUUUGGGAGGAAAGGAUCUUGCUUCAGGAGCCUGAGGAUAAGUUUGUCCUCUGCGAGCUUGGCUAGACUAAUCCCCUGGUGGCCGCACAACAGGGUGCACCCAGCCACUGAGCCAGAUGAAGGUACUGUGGAACCUGACUCAGUACACUCAGGCAUGAACGAUGAUUCUGGUUCAUUCAGUGCUCCAGAUUUCAGAACAAACUCUACAGGUGCUAAGCCGUAUCUCUCUUCUAGUGCAUGGUGCAAAUUCAAAUGAACUAACUCGGAGUUCCGGUCGUGGCGCAGUGGUUAAGGACUCCGACUAGGAACCAUGAGGUUGCGAGUUGGAUCUCUGGCCUUGCUCAGUGGGUUAAGGAUCCGGGGUUGCCGUGAGCUGUGGUGUUGGCCACAGAUGCGGUUCGAAUCCCGAGUUGCAGUGGCUGUGGCGUAGGCCAGUGGCUACAACUCUGAUUAGACCCCUCUCCUGGGAGCCUGCGCAUGCCAAGGGAAGCGGGCCUAGAAAAGGCAAAAUGACCAAAACCCAACCAACC